rnacentral:rRNA from 1 species
AUGGGGACCACUGCAGCCUAUCUUGGCCUUGUGCUCUAUGCUAUGCUUAACAGAUCGGGUGACCUAGGCACGGAUGAAGAAUAUCGUAAUUUUUCUAUCAAAGUGUUGGAUGAUUCGAACAAGGGGGUCACUGGAAAAGGCCGUACCUUGGAUGAAGUGAACAAAGUGUUGGAUGAUUCGAGUAAGGGGGCCACUGGAAAAAGCCGUACCUUGGAUGAAGUGAACAAAGUGUUGGAUGAUAUAAUCAAAGCCGUGGAAGAUUUGAAGAAGGCGGCCACAAAUUCAAGUGCGAAGCCCAGUGAUGUCAGUGGAAAAGGCGGUAACUUUGAUGAUGUGAACAAAGGGACCACAGAUUCAAGCAGGAAGUCCAGUUACGUUGACGCCAAAAAAGGUAGCAUGUCGAUGAAAUCAACCACGGGAUUCCGUGGUGUCAAGGGAGUUGACGAAGCAAAAGCUGAGCUCGAGGACUUAGUUCACUACCUAAGGAAUCCCAAGCAUUUCACGAGCCUUGGUGGCAAGCUUCCAAAGGCUGUUCUGCUUGCUGGCCCACCAGGCACAGGGAAAACCAUGUUGGCGAGAGUUGUCGCUGACGAAGCUGGCGUCCCAUUCUUUGCGCGCAGUGGCAGCGACUUCGAGGAGAUGUGGGUGGGUGUUGGGCCUAAAAGAGUUAGGGAGCUCUUCAGUGAAGCAAAGAAGCAAUCCCCUUGCAUCAUAUUCAUCGAUGAGAUUGACACCACCGCUGGGCAAAGGCAAGUAAAUGACAGAAAUGGGGCGAGGGAAACUCUGAACCAGCUGCUCGUUGAGAUGGAUGGCUUCAAGCAGAAUGACGGUAUCAUUGUUCUCGCAGCGACCAACUUCCCACAGUCACUGGAUAAAGCCGUUAUUAGACCCGGGCGUUUUGACCGUCAUGUUCAGGUUCCUAAUCCAGAUGUUGAGGGCCGGCGGCAGAUCCUAGAGGCUUGUAUGUCAAAGGUCAAAGCCAAGGGUGUGGAUCUGAUGAUGAUUGCGAGGGGGACACCAGGAUUCUCAGGUGCAGCCCUUACAAACUUGGUGAACGAGGCUGCUCUGAAGGCUGCCAAGGAUGUGUCGGAAGCUGUUACGAUGGAUCACAUUGAAUAUUCCAAGGACAGGAUCAUGAUGGGCAGCGAGCGCAAAUCGGCGGUGAUACCUGAUAACUGCAGGAACAUGACUGCGUACUACACUGGAGGAAGGGCCCUUGUUGCUAUCCACACGGAUGGCGCUCACCUUAUCUACAAGGCUACCAUUAUCCCGAGGGGAAACUCUCUUGGCAUGGUGAUCCAGAUGCCUGAGGAAGAAGACGCCUAUAAAUUCUCAAGGAAGAAGAUGCUGGCGAAAUUGGACAUCCUCAUGGGCGGCAAGGUAGCCGAGGAGGUUAUAUUUGGAGAGAGCGAGGUGAGCUCUGACGCCCUGUCUGGUCUAAGAGAGGCGACUCAGCUGGCGACAGACAUGGUCACCAAGUAUGGAAUGAGCCAGCGGAUCGGCCCUGUUUGCUACGGCAACAAUGAUGGGAAGCAGACGGCGACCUUGAGUUGGCAAGCGACAGCCCUGGUCGAUGAGGAGGUGAAAGAAUUACUGGUCAAUGCUCGCAAGAACACGGAAAAUAUUAUCACGGCGCACCGCAACGAGCUUAAUGUGCUAGCCGACGCCCUUCUCGAGCAUGGAACUCUCACUGGGGACCAGAUCAAACAGUUGGUAAAUGGUCUUAAACUUGGUAAUGCGCAGAAUCAGGAAACACCAUCUUCAUCCGAACCCUAG